CGGCAACAGCUCAAAUUUGAAAUCUGGCCCUCGGGUCCGAAUUGUAAUUUGUAGAAGCUGCUUUGGGUGUCGGCCCGGUCUAAGUUCCUUGGAACAGGACGUCAUAGAGGGUGAGAAUCCCGUAUGUGAUCGGUGCCGUUGCCCGUGUAAAGCGCUUUCGAC
rnacentral:rRNA from 1 species